rfam:Picea glauca, whole genome shotgun sequence.
GAAAUGGUGUUUUUCAACACCACCAAAUAAAAUUUUAGAAAGAUCA